rnacentral:rRNA from 1 species
UGGCUCAGGACGAACGCUGGCGGCGUGCCUAAUACAUGCAAGUCGAACGGUCUUUCUAUGGAAGCUUGCUUCCACUGAGAAGAUAGUGGCGAACGGGUGAGUAACACGUGGGUAACCUGCCCAUAAGAGGGGGAUAACAUCCGGAAACGGGUGCUAAUACCGCAUAGUUUUCUUGAUCGCAUGAUUGAGAAAGGAAAGACGGCCUUUGUGCUGUCGCUUAUGGAUGGACCCGCGGCGUAUUAGUUAGUUGGUGAGGUAACGGCUCACCAAGACGAUGAUACGUAGCCGACCUGAGAGGGUGAUCGGCCACAUUGGGACUGAGACACGGCCCAAACUCCUACGGGAGGCAGCAGUAGGGAAUCUUCCGCAAUGGACGAAAGUCUGACGGAGCAACGCCGCGUGAGUGAAGAAAGGUUUUCGGAUCGUAAAACUCUGUUGUCAGAGAAGAACAAGUUGGAGAGUAACUGCUCCAGCCUUGACGGUAUCUGACCAGAAAGCCACGGCUAACUACGUGCCAGCAGCGGC